GCAGUCGACGAUGAAGCCCUUCGGGGUGGAUUAGUGGCGAACGGGUGAGUAACACGUGGGCAAUCUGCCCUUCACUCUGGGACAAGCCCUGGAAACGGGGUCUAAUACCGGAUAAUACUCCUGCCUGCAUGGGCGGGGGUUAAAAGCUCCGGCGGUGAAGGAUGAGCCCGCGGCCUAUCAGCUUGUUGGUGGGGUAAUGGCCCACCAAGGCGACGACGGGUAGCCGGCCUGAGAGGGCGACCGGCCACACUGGGACUGAGACACGGCCCAGACUCCUACGGGAGGCAGCAGUGGGGAAUAUUGCACAAUGGGCGAAAGCCUGAUGCAGCGACGCCGCGUGAGGGAUGACGGCCUUCGGGUUGUAAACCUCUUUCAGCAGGGAAGAAGCGAAAGUGACGGUACCUGCAGAAGAAGCGCCGGCUAACUACGUGCCAGCAGCCGCGGUAAUACGUAGGGCGCAAGCGUUGUCCGGAAUUAUUGGGCGUAAAGAGCUCGUAGGCGGCUUGUCACGUCGGAUGUGAAAGCCCGAGGCUUAACCUCGGGUCUGCAUUCGAUACGGGCUAGCUAGAGUGUGGUAGGGGAGAUCGGAAUUCCUGGUGUAGCGGUGAAAUGCGCAGAUAUCAGGAGGAACACCGGUGGCGAAGGCGGAUCUCUGGGCCAUUACUGACGCUGAGGAGCGAAAGCGUGGGGAGCGAACAGGAUUAGAUACCCUGGUAGUCCACGCCGUAAACGUUGGGAACUAGGUGUUGGCGACAUUCCACGUCGUCGGUGCCGCAGCUAACGCAUUAAGUUCCCCGCCU
rnacentral:rRNA from 1 species